rnacentral:rRNA from 1 species
UACGUAGGGAGCAAGCGUUGUCCGGAAUCAUUGGGCGUAAAGCGCGCGUAGGUGGCCCGGUAAGUCCGCUCUGAAAGUCACAGGCUCAACCUGUGAAAGCGGGUGGAUACUGCCGGGCUAGAGUCCGGAAGAGGCGAGUGGAAUUCCUGGUGUAGCGGUGGAAUGCGCAGAUAUCGAGAGGAACACCUGCGGCGAAGGCGGGUUGCUGGGCUGACACUGACGCUGAGGCGCGAAAGCUAGGGGAGCGAAUGGG